AUUUUAACUCUAGCCUACACAAACACCCACUACUACUCAAUUAUUUAAAACAUUUUUAUAUGCUAGUAAGGGCGACAGAAAACCUCUUAGCGCAAUAGAUAAAGUACUGCAAAGGAAAGGUGAAAUAGAAAUUAAAUAAAAUAAAAAUAUAAUAAAGCAAAGAUUAUAGCUUAUACCUUUCGCAUAAUGAUCUAGCCAGUCCAUAUUAACAAAAAGAACUUUAGUUUUAUGCCCCGAAACCAGACGAGCUACUUUUAGGCAGCAAUCCAUGAGCAAACUCUUCUCUGUGGCAAAAGAGUGAGAAGACCUUGAAGUAGAGGCGAAAAACCUAACGAGCCUGGAUAUAGCUGGUUACUUGAGAAUGAAUUUAAGUUCAACUAAAAACACCAAUAUUAUUUAAAAAACAUGUUUUUAUUAUAAUUAAUUGAGGUACAGCCCAAUUAAUAAAGGAAACAACCUA
rnacentral:rRNA from 1 species